ensembl:lncRNA EDRF1-DT EDRF1 divergent transcript
AUCUGACGCUCAGGCUCCGCCCCCUGCAUGUCUUUGUUGGCAAACAGUUCUGGGGGUCGUCCGAUCCUGCAGAGACCGUCCAGGCUGGACUUGAACUCCUUCCUCGGCUGAAGUGAUCCUCCUGCCUCAGCGUCCUGAAUAGUUUAACUUGACGAGUAGAAAAAUGUCAAGGUAUAAGACAAUGCAAAAUGUAGGGACAAAGAAGAAAACUUCCCCUUUCACCCUCUGAAGGUUUGCUGAAAAUGAACUGAAAAAGGCAGAGCAACAGGAGAAAAGGAAGUGGAGCCAGAAUCCACAGAUGUCAUUAUCCAUCUGCACACUUUGUUUACUACCCAGAAGGCAAGAAUAUUGCAUUUUAAAAGUGCCCGGACUUUUGUUCUUUCUUAUCACAAAUGACUUGGGAAGCUCCGACCACUCAUGUUUACCCCGAGUGAAAGUCCCAUUCAAAGCCUUGCUUCCUGGAGAGCUUUGAGAUUCUGGUACAAAAGGCAUUUUAUAAGCACAAAGUGGAAAAGCAUCAUUCAUAUUCAUUUGCUGCUGCGGCAUUUCUCCCUGGAAUCUUCCUCUUGUCUGUCAACAUUGGGCAAAAGGACUGGCCUCAUCUACAUUACAGAUAUCCUUGUGAUGGUCUGGAGGUAGGAAAAGGACACCCAGCACAAGAGUGAGAAGGGAAACUCAAGCUCUCCUGUUGGAGAGUCUCAGGCUUCUUUAUCCAUAAAACUGAUUGGACAUAAUUGGUGUGGGUUUAUGAUUUGUUUUGGAAAAACCUGAGUAUGAAAUCAAUACUGUGCUUUGUGCA